rnacentral:rRNA from 1 species
UACGUAGGGUGCGAGCGUUGUCCGGAAUUAUUGGGCGUAAAGAGCUCGUAGGCGGUGUGUCGCGUCGGCCGUGAAAACCUGCAGCUUAACUGUGGGCUUGCGGUCGAUACGGGGCAUCACUGGAGUUCGGCAGGGGAGACUGGAAUUCCUGGUGUAGCGGUGAAAUGCGCAGAUAUCAGGAGGAACACCCGGUGGGCGAAGGCGGCAUCCUGGACCGGGCA